rnacentral:rRNA from 1 species
CCUACGGGUGGCAGCAGUGAGGAAUAUUGGUCAAUGGGCGCGAGCCUGAACCAGCCAAGUCGCGUGCGGGAAGACGGUCCUAUGGAUUGUAAACCUCUUUUGCCGGGGGACAAAAGCCUCCACGCGUGGCGUUCUGCGAGUACCCGACGAAAAAGCAUCGGCUAACUCCGUGCCAGCAGCCGCGGUAAUACGGAGGAUCCGAGCGUUAUCCGGAUUUAUUGGGUUUAAAGGGUGCGCAGGCGGACGUUCAAGUCAGCGGUAAAAUUGAGCGGCUCAACCUCUCCGAGCCGUUGAAACUGGUCGUCUUGAGUGAGCGAGAGGCAUGCGGAAUGCGUGGUGUAGCGGUGAAAUGCAUAGAUAUCACGCAGAACCCCGAUUGCGAAGGCAGCAUACCGGCGCGCAACUGACGCUGAGGCACGAAAGUGUGGGUAUCGAACAGGAUUAGAUACCCGGGUAGUC